AGCUUUCUUCACUGCUGGCUUCUUAGCAGCAACAACUUUCUUCCCCGGAGUUGUCCUCGUCGACGUCCUUGAAGCCUUAGCAGGUUUCACAACUGUCUUUGCCUUGGCAGCAGGUUUGGCCUUUGCAGCAGCAGCUUUAGGUUUGGCAGCAGGAGCUUUGGGCUUGGCAGCAGCAGGCUUGGGCUUUGCAGCAACAGGUUUAGCUUUUGCAGCAACCUUAGUCUUGACAACAGCUUUAGCCUUGGGCUUAGGGCCGGGCUUGGCCUUCACUGCCGUCACCUUAGCAACUGCCUUUGUCUUUGGCUUAGCGGCUGCAGGCUUUUUCUCCGCUGAUGGUUUCGUCGCCGGAGAAAG
rnacentral:lncRNA from 1 species